AUUACAUUAUUUUUAACCGAAUUGCACAAAACAAGUGUUGCGGUUGUAUCUAAUUGUUUUUGCAAACCAAAAAGUCUACCUAUAUGGAUUUGCGACAGCCUCGAAACAUGACAGCCUCCAGGUGGUGAUGAUGACGCAAUGCAUUUUCAAUCUAUUAGGCUGUGGGCCUGAUCCAAAAGCUGUCUUUUGUGACAACGUUUCAGGGGCAAAGUAAAAAUGCUACAAUGAUGAUGAACUCGAUGACAAGAUCACAUAAUGAAAAGUGGCUCUACGUUAACCAGAUCUAAGCUUACUGACUUGAAUCAUGAGAAUAACAAAUGAUAAGAGCAGUCAGUAAAAUUAAGUUCGUCUGUUGACUCCUAGGUGGUCAAACCUUCUUCCUUCAGUCCUGCCACCUAGGAGGCAACUCGUAAGCUAAUUCAUCCAUCAAGAGCAUUUGAAAUGAUUUUCUACCUUCUAAUGACAGGAGCAAUAAUUUUUGCGUGAACCUUUGUUUUGUCUAAAGUAAUCUUAACUUAUCACAGUAAGAGCAUUUUUACUCUGCUUCCAAAAUGUUAUCAUGAUAUCAAAAACUAAGCCUUUUUUGGAUUUGGCCCAAGGCAUAUUUUGAGUGCAACACAACACACCAAUGAUGCUGUAUUCCUUCCUUGGCUGCAGCUUAUAUUCUGUGCCCUCGAUGUUUCAACAUGAAAGUGCAAUUUUAAGGCAUUUGAACAAUGUAAUUUAACCCUUAAGCACGCCAGCGUUUUGUUUGUUUUUCCAUAUGUUCUCCAAGAAAAAUUCCUAGAAAUUUCUAAAAAUGAGCAAUUUCAACAUGAAAUUUGUUAUUCGUCAGUAAACAGACUGACUGAGCAGAAGUUCAGCUCAAGUAGAAUGAUGUUUGAUUCAGCACUUUUAUGUCAGAUGUCACAUCGUAAAUUUGGGCGUCCACAGGUGUUUGAAGGAAAAACCUACGGGCGUUUAGAGGACUAAAGGGUUAAAGGCUACAUAAUUCUAUUCAUUUUGGGCCUGCAAAACAAGCCAUCUAUCACCUCAACACUUGUAGAAUUUGGUACAAAUAAGUGAUACAGGCCUUUUUGCAGUUCUUUGUGAAAAAGGGAGUAGAAAACUGUAUUGCGCUUCCUUCACUUUGAGAUGAACAACAAAUUAUUCUCCUUCAGCAGAAUAGAUUGCGCCACUCUUGCGAAAAUCAGCAGUUCUGGCCGGGCUGUGCAGAAAUUGAUUGAUUGUGCAAGAGUAUAAAUAAAUUGGGGACAGUGUCUAGGGUCAGGUGGCAGAUUUAGACAUUUGGACCGUUAAAAAAAAGAUAACCACAAAACCUGUUUGACCCCAAGACUUGAAAUAUUGCUUGAAGGUCAUACAUCAACAUGACCCUCAAAAUAAAUUUGUAUCUAUCAAAAUUUUAAUGGUUUGCAUUCUUUUUGGCUCACCUUGUAUUAAUGUUUGGAAUGUCAAAAUGCUUUGCUCCAAACUGCGUCUUUGCCUCAGUUGGAAACCAUACAUGUAGCACCUGAGACAAGAGCUAACCUUUUUUGCCAUUCUAUGGUAAAUAAUCAUUGCUCUUCAACCUUUCUGGCUGGUACCUGUGUCUGGCACAGCAUGUCUUACGUAGAAAGUGUAAGUCUGCUCAUUAUUGCAAAAAUAAGUCAAGUUGGUUAACCUUGUCUAACCUUCCCGAACAUGCAACUUUCUUUAUUUUCUCUGGAACUAUCACCUCAUCUCAUUUUCUGAUGUUGAACGAUGCUGGAGGUAUGUCGUCAUGACCAGCAAAAUAUGACAUAUACUCGUUAUGCUGUCUGAUAAAGGGUGGAGGUCCGUUAACAGACACUGCCAUUUAAUAAAGGUGCAACUUUGACUUAGCUUACAGCCACGUAACGGUGUAGCAAUGUUUCGGUUCACAGAUUUUGUUGAUCACGAAAAACAGGAAAUGUGAAGGCUUGACCAGAUGGAUAAUGUAAAAACGCUCUCCCUUGAUGUUGAGACUGGUAGCAUGAGAAAUCUUAUGAUUCCUAAAAUGGUUUUCAGAAUGUGUAAUGUUCCCUUAUUAGAGGGUAAAUAAAUUUCAUGAGGUUUCCAAGGGCCCACAGGAUAAUACUACGUAUAUUAGCUGUUUCUUACCAUCUGUCUCUUGAGUUUCCUACUUGACAACUGUAAUAGUAAUUUCGCGAUAUUUGCUGAAGAAGUCUAUACAGCUUGAAUCAUCAAAAAUUUUGUAAAUCUAGUCAAGCAUAUUCACUGAUCCAUUGUGUGUAUAUGCCAUAAUAUCCCUUCUUGUCAUAGCAUCUAUCAUUAUCUUACAACUCGAGUCAUGAUUGGAAAGCCUCCUUGUCCCUGUGAUGGUCUUGAUCAAACCAGGGGCCAAGCUUUUGUCAUUCACAUACACAUUUACAUUGAUAGACAACUGACACUCCUCUUUUGUUUUUCAAUAUUUUCUGUCCAUGUUUUUUCCCCCGACUCUUCAAAUCUGUAGUAAUUCAAAACUUGUCUCUGCCAUUACUUCUGUUUCAAAUAUGCAUUGUUUCUCUUUCAGCCAUGUUAGAAAAUCCAGGAUGACAUAGUUGGGAGUUGCCAGUUCAAGUGCUCUGCCUAUGGUUGCCAUGGUAACAAAGGAUGAUCAGCUUGACAUGGAGAAGCCAGUUGAGGGAAUGGAGAGCUUUCCAACCUGUUGCUACGGAUCACCUUCUGCCUGUUCGACGUUGUGCAACAAAGGAUGAAACCGACUGAAACCUGCUAUAUUUCCUUGUAUAUUUGUGGCAGGAUUGGAACAACAAGGUUCAACAGGAAAAUGUGGAGGAUUGGAAGCCGGAACUAACAGAAUGGCAAAACAGCAAAUGCUGUGAUGAGAGGAAAAAAUAUGAGUAGAUGUAGUGUGAAUGAAUGAUGGCACUAGUUGUAGAGUUCCUGUGUCCACGGUGCUGCAUGGAUAUCUUAAGUAACUUUCCCUCCUGUAUAGAGUGAGCUACUUCUUGCCAACACUUAAAUCCUCUAUCUGUUCUUGAGUGCAUCAGAAUUUGUACACAAAGCCUCUACCAACUGUUUAUACACUUUUGGAUUUAAAUCUGUGGCUUUUUCAAUUACUGGAGUAAGUCACUCCAUAGAAACUUGGACAGGUUUUGGAGAUCGUGCUAUCAUCCUGUGCUCCAGUGCUGUUAAACGGUCUCCCCAGCAUUUGAAACUCUCUAAAUGUUGACACUUUUAAGGGUCGGCUUAAGACUUGGUUGUUUCAGGAUCACUUUGGUGUGGAAGCACCUUGAUCAGCCUCUGGAAGGGCACUUUAACAUGGGAACUCUACAACUAUACUUCUAUUCCUUAAUAAAGAUGGACUGUUCAAGAAAGAUAUUGACUCUGUGAAGUCGAUUUACCCGAGGGGGCAUCCAUUAGUAUGUAAGCACAAUUUAGCAGACCCCCAUACUGUAAAAACACAAAGGAAACAAAUUGUGCAAAUGUAAGGUAUUUUUACAGUUGAUUACAAAAAUAUUUGAUUCUUACCCUUCACCCUUGUCCAUACGCAAAGUGGACCACAAACUUACCCCUCCCUCAAUUGCAUACAAACGAAAUGGAUGUUCCCUUACCAAAAACAGACUUAUUAUGAUUUUUUGGAAAGGAAGGUCCUACACAUUGGCAAGGACGGGAAGUUGUUGACAUCAUCUGUGAGGCUUAUCAACUGAUGUCAAAAAGGACAUAUGAUACCAGGCACCAGUCUCCUAGUCGCCCCUCUUUCAAGAGAGAAUCUACUGAAAACCUAGAAGUAUUUGCGGUUUCGUGCUUCUGAAAUUUAGCACCUUGACAACCCAAUUUCAAUCAGAUUUUCUUUUUCGCUGCCUUAUAUUUUUGCGAUUAUCUGUAAGCGUAAAACUAAAGUGCACGCAAAUUUAUCCAGGUUAACAGUAGAUUCCAGAUCAUGUUUCAAGGAUACUUUUUAUAUCGAAUAGGCCCAAAUGGUAUCUUUUAGCUUAUGCUAUUGUACUAUUGUACUACUAUUCCUCGUGUCAAACCACUUCACUCUGAUUAACUGGUAUUUCAGUCUGGUGCUAGGAUAGCUUGAAAUACCGGUCUCACAACACAGUAGAGGUAAAUGCAUGUUGCAAUACAUUGCCGUUAAUGACGCCAUAGAAAGUAAUAUCAAAUGCGGUCGCUCAGUGGAAUGUCCUGUACGGAAGUCGUUAAUAAUAAAUAAAUAAAUUCUACUGUCAAAAGUAUAGCUCCCAAAGCCAGAUCGGUCGCAAACAUGUGUCAUCCCGACACCUGAGUGAAAAUAAGCAUGUUAGAAUAUGAUAUGGAAAUGAGAUAGUGGUGUAUCCAAGGCAGGGCCCCCUCCUGGUAGAAAAUGUUUAUACCGGUAGUUGACCAGUUGACUUUGACAAAUUGAAGUUGACCAGUUUUUUAGAAAUUCACCAUAAUAACACCGGGGCUGACUUUCUCAGACUCCUUGAUCUUGGUGUGGUUCUCUGGCUCCCAAAAUAGGUGUCACUAUUCUAACAAGUGAUAGUUACCCAUCACCAUAUACCUAUCUAAGGUUUAAAUUAUAUGUUUUUUUAGCCAUUAGAACUUCAAGAAGACCAAAAUAUUUGGUUGUCAAUUGGUAAUAGACAUGCUUCAUGAAAGAACAUGGGAUAGCUUUGAACCUCCUUCAGCAAUCUUGACAACCAUAAAUGUGUUAUUGCCUCUAAAUAUAUACGUUUUGAAACAUGGAACUGUAUUAAGAGGCAUAAUUACCCUAAAUGUAGUUCAAUGAGCCAACUGAUUCUGUGAAUAUUUCCGUCGAGCCAAUACGGAUGAUAAAUGAUGUGGCCUCAUUUCAGUAAUGCUGGUAGACAACAGCUGGAAGUUUAGGCCGAGAUAAUCUAUUGUAAUCAUACCGAUUAUUGAAUAAUAAAAUUAUUUUUUGUACAUGAUAAA